GAUGAACGCUAGCGGCAGGCCUAACACAUGCAAGUCGAGGGAGAAGCCCUUUCGGGGGCAGAAACCGGCGCACGGGUGCGUAACGCGUAUGCAACCUACCUUUCACAGGGGGAUAGCCCGAAGAAAUUUGGAUUAAUACCCCAUAAUAUUAUUGGAUGGCAUCAUUUGAUAAUUAAAACUGCGGUGGUGAAAGAUGGGCAUGCGUCCUAUUAGCUAGUUGGAGUGGUAACGGCACCCCAAGGCUACGAUAGGUAGGGGUCCUGAGAGGGAGAUCCCCCACACUGGUACUGAGACAGGGACCAGACUCCUACGGGAGGCAGCAGUGAGGAAUAUUGGUCAAUGGUCGGAAGACUGAACCAGCCAUGCCGCGUGCAGGAAGAAUGCCUUAUGGGUUGUAAACUGCUUUUAUAUGGGAAGAAUAAGGCGUACGUGUACGUUGAUGACGGUACCAGAUGAAUAAGCAUCGGCUAACUCCGUG
rnacentral:rRNA from 1 species